rnacentral:rRNA from 1 species
CAAUAGCGUAUAUUAAAGUUGUUGCGGUUAAAAAGCUCGUAGUUGGAGUUCUGCCAGGUGCCGCCUGUCCGCCCCAGUGGUGAGUACGUGGCGCGCAUUUGGCCCUUUCAAGGGGAGCGUAUCUGCACUUUAUUGUGUGGUGCGGGAUCCUUGACUUUUACUUUGAGGAAAUAGGAGUGUUCCAAGCAGGCUCUCGUCGUGCACAGCUCAGCAUGGAAUAAUAGCAUUGGACCUCGAUUCUAAGCUGUUGGUUGCCAGAAGCGAGGUAAUGAUGAAGAGGGAUAGUUGGGGGCAUUCGUAUUUAACUGUCAGAGGUGAAAUUCGUGGAUUUGUUAAAGACGGACUACUGCGAAAGCAUCUGCCAUGGAUGUUUUCAUUGA